CCCUUAGAUGUUCUGGGCCGCACGCGCGCUACACUGGUGCAUUCAACGAGUCUAAAACCUGCUCUGAUAGGGGUGGGUAAUCUUUUGAAUGUGCAUCGUGAUUGGGAUAGAUGAUUGCAAUUUUUCAUCUUCAACGAGGAAUGCCUAGUAAACGCAAGUCAUCAGCUUGCAUUGAUUACGUCCCUGCCCUUUGUACACACCGCCCGUCGCUCCUACCGAUUGAAUGAUCCGAUGAAUAUCAUGGAUUGAGGAUUAUAGCAGGUUCGCCUGUCUUGAUCUUCGAGAAGUGAAGUAAAUCUUAUCAUUUAGAGGAAGGAGAAGUCGUAACA
rnacentral:rRNA from 1 species